rnacentral:tRNA from 1 species
GAGCUGUUAUGUGGGUAACGAUGCCCUCCGAAGGCAGAGGUCACAGGUUCGACUCCUGUCGAGUGCGCCA